rnacentral:rRNA from 1 species
UACGUAGGGGGCAAGCGUUAUCCGGAUUUACUGGGUGUAAAGGGAGCGUAGACGGCGGCGCAAGCCAGAUGUGAAAGCCCGGGGCUCAACCCCGGGACUGCAUUUGGAACUGUGCUGCUAGAGUGUCGGAGAGGCAGGCGGAAUUCCUAGUGUAGCGGUGAAAUGCGUAGAUAUUAGGUGGAACACCAGUGGCGAAGGCGGCCUGCUGGACGAUGACUGACGUUGAGGCUCGAAAGCGUGGGGAGCAAACAGG